AUGCAACUUGUUUUGUCUCAGAUUGAAACAAAAGGUUUGAUUAUGAUUAUUUCCUGGUUGAAGAUUUUCAUAUUGAUGAUUGUAAUUUCAAACAUCUGCANNNNNNNNNNNNNNNNNNNNCUCUGUGCCUCGGUCAGAAGCGAGCUAGGAUGGCAGCCGCACCUAAGACGCUUCCCCUCCUCUGUACUCUACUGUUAGUUUGCAUCAGCUGUAGCUCCAACGCUGUCGAUGCCACAUUGACUUUCUCAGUGGUCAACAGUCACGGUUUCAUUCACACACACAAAUCUGUUUGUUCCUGUAACAACCUGUGAGAAGUUACGGCUCUCAGCUAGCUUCAAGUUGGAGCUCCUUUUACUAAUUCUACUUUAAGUUAAGCUUAUCCUAAAUUUAUAUAUAAGAUAUUAUAGAUAAAGUGUGACUACCAGCUGGCGUCUAAUUGUAAAUAAAUUCAGCCCGGGGAUGUGAAUGAACAUCCUCUGUAAUCUCUGUGGGAAAGUGAUGUGAAACUGACUGUUUCACAACCUCAACCAUGUGUUACCGAGGUGUCUUACACAGACUCUAAAAGCUACCUUGUGUGUCUGUAUGAGACGAAGACGGUUGUGACAAAGCAGCAUCAGUAGCCUAUUUGAUUCAACGAUUCAAGGUUAUUUUACUGUAAUUUACAACACAAGGCUGUAGAAUGAAAUUUAGAUAUGGUUGCCUUUAUACUACUGCCUCCUAGUGGGGGAAAAGUGCAUCUUUAAUGCUUAUUAAAUGAUGUUGACUUAUAACAGUUUACCCUCUUGUUAUGCUUUAUGAGCAAUAAAACUUUUGUCUUUUAACAAAAUAAAGGAAAAUCAGCCGGUGCAGUGUCUUUUUCAUAUCAAGUCUUUUAUCAGUGUCUUUGAUCAGAGAUGGGGACUCGAGUUUGCGACUCUGACUCGAGUCACACUUAAGUCGCACACACAGAGACUUCAGACUCGACUCGGACUCGUGUUUUGGGACUCUUGAACAAUCAUUAUGUUUUCUUUUUUGGCGUAUUAAUAUUGAGGAAACUGAAACGUGUGACGAGCUUAAUGUGAUUCCUUCCUUUUUUUUUCAUGGUAACCAUGGUAACCAUAUUACGCAUUGGGUGCACGCCUCGCGGCCUCAC
rnacentral:lncRNA from 15 species